rnacentral:rRNA from 1 species
CUUGGUUCAGGACGAACGCUGGCGGCGUGCCUAAUACAUGCAAGUCGAACGGUCUUUCUAUGGAAGCUUGCUUCCACUGAGAAGAUAGUGGCGAACGGGUGAGUAACACGUGGGUAACCUGCCCAUAAGAGGGGGAUAACAUCCGGAAACGGGUGCUAAUACCGCAUAGUUUUCUUGGUCGCAUGAUCGGGAAAGGAAAGACGGCCUUUGUGCUGUCGCUUAUGGAUGGACCCGCGGCGUAUUAGUUAGUUGGUGAGGUAACGGCUCACCAAGACGAUGAUACGUAGCCGACCUGAGAGGGUGAUCGGCCACAUUGGGACUGAGACACGGCCCAAACUCCUACGGGAGGCAGCAGUAGGGAAUCUUCCGCAAUGGACGAAAGUCUGACGGAGCAACGCCGCGUGAGUGAAAGAAGGUUUUCGGAUCGUAAAACUCUGUUGUCAGAGAAGAACAAGUUGGAGAGUAACUGCUCCAGCCUUGACGGUAUCUGACCAGAAAGCCACGGCUAACUACGUGCCAGCCGCCGC